AUUCAGAUUUUCAUUUUACAAGUGGGGUGGUGGAUGACAAUCAACAUAAGGAGCCUGUUUAUGAUUCAAGCCCCCAAGCAGUUGACAAGUUCCUCUCUUUAUUGUCAAUCUCGUCUGAUACACAAGGCGUGACAUCAGAAAUGGGUUCGCCUCCAGCAUUAGCUGAAUUUUCUGGUAAAGAAUCUGAAGUGCAUACUGAGAACAUGGGGAAAAAUACUUCUGGCCACAAAAAGACGCAUGAAGGCUCCUCAAAAGAACAAUCAUUAGAUGAAAAUGAAUCAAGAUCAAGGGAAGUUACAGAAAUUGAACUUGAUGUUGCGAAGGUUGGGCUGUCGGGAGAUGAUCUAGCAUUUGAUUUUCAAGAUGGUAAAAUUGGGUUUAUGAAGUCAGAAUUGGUGGUUGAGCAUAAUGCAGCUGAUUCACCUCCAUCUUCAUCAAACAAUGGAUCUGUGAAGGUGGAUCUAGAAUACGAGGAAGAAAGCUCCGAUCAUGAACUGGAGGAACUGCACCUGUCAAGUCCUAACGCUGAAAUAAUUGUUGGGGUUCACCAAGAUGUAAUUGAUAAGUUGGAUUCUGCCUCUUUUGAUAAUCAGAUUGCUUCUGAAGAGACAAUUUUGCAUGCACUAGAGGAACAACAUCCUUCAGUUGCAGUUGAUGUUUCAGUGGACUCCAAAUUAUCUUCUUCAGAGUCUGAAUAUGUAGAGGAGCAUGCAAUGCUUAUGGAAGGCGUUUCACAGCCUAAAUGGGAAGGAGGCCAAUCAUCAGGUUUUGAUGCAGAGGUCCAUGCUUACAGUUUAGUGGCUUCAAGCUUUGAGCAUAUACCUUCUAAUUAUUUAAAUUUGUCUGAAAAUGAUGAAAGACAGCUUGCAGUGGUGGCUGAGCAAGUUUUAGAGGCUCAUACGCAUGCAUCCUCUUCAGAGAUUAAGCAUUUGGAGGAGCUUUCAUUGAGGAGGGAAGAAGAUCUCCGGCAUUCAUCAAGUUCUGAUGCAAUGAUUGGUGAUGACCUCCUUCAAGACGCAGAUGUGAAGCUUGUUUCUUCAGGUUCUAGUUAUCAGCACGUGCCUUUAGAGGCAAAAUCUCCCUAUGAAGUGGAGAAACAGCUGUCUUGGUCAGAUAUUUCUGUUGUUGAACCAUCCAUAAAUGAUGAUGAUGAUGAUAAAUCCCAGGAACCGUCUGUCACCCUGGCAGAGUCAACAGCAGGAGUGAACGUUGCCAACAACUUACAUGUGCCUGAAGUCUUCAAUCAUGAGGCAUCUGAAUCUGCUUCAGUCCCACCAGAGAGUCUAGAGUACAAAUUGAAGGUUGAUGAAGUUGAUUUUAAAGACAAUAUCCUCGAUAAAAUUCUCUAUGAGGACUUAGAACACCCUGACUAUUCAGUAGAAACGCACUGGUCUUCUGUUGCUGAGGGAAAUAUUAAUGAGGAUGGAGAUGAGGUAAAGGAGAUUGAUGAGGGAUUGUUGUCAGAACUGGACACAGUUGGGGACUUUAGUGUCAAAGAAGUGGUUGGUGAGUCACUUCAUGAUGAACACAUACCAGGACAAACUAGCACCGUGAUUCCUGAAUACAAUUUGUUAUCAAUAGAUAGAAGUGUGCCAGAGAUUAAACCAGAACUCCCAGUCCUUGAACUUAGAUCAGUUACAGAUAUUGACUUGGCAUUCAAGCAACUUCAUGAAGGAGUAGAUGUUGAGGAGGUCAUCCUUCCAAGUAUGAUUGAGGAUCAACCAGUUGUUGAUAAAGGCCCUGGUGAAACCAACUCAGAAUUGCGAGUUGUUGAAGCAAGAUCUUUGGACGAUCUUCAUGUGGCUAUGAAGCAAGCCUCAGAAGGGAACAUUGAAGAGAUGUCGAAACUGUCUGAUUCAAUGGGAGGGCCAGCAGGACUAAACGAAGUGGGUUCUAGCAGUUCUACAAAGGAGCUCCCAAUUCUUGAAGUUAGAACGAUCAAUGAUAUUGACCUGGCCUUCAAGCAACUUAACGAAGGUGCAGAUGUUGAGGAGGUAAUCCUUCCCAGCACAAUUGAACAGCAUCUAGCAAAUAAUGAAUCCAGAAACCCUCAACAAUCUAGUUUUGACCUGCAAGUUAUUGAAGCAAGAUCUCUGGAAGAUCUUCAUGUGGCCAUGAAGAAAGCUUCAGAAGAACAUAUCAAAGAUAGGUCAAAACCAUCAGAUUUAAACAAAGGGCAAGCAGAAGUAAAUGACGUGGGUUUUAGCAGUUCUACCAAGGAGCUUCCAGUUCUUGAAGUUGGAACAGUUGAUGAUAUUGACCUGCCUUUCAAUCAACCCAAAAAUGGUGCAGAGGUUACCAGCACAAUUGAGCAGCAUCUAGUUGUGAAUGAAUCCAGAGAUCCUCUACAUUCUAGUUCAGAUUUGCAAGAUCUUGAUAAUGCCAUGAAGGAAGUUUCAGAGGUUACUAUUGAGCAGCUGCCAAAAUCAUCAGAUCCAAUCAAAGAGAUAUCAAGGACUUCAGAGGCAAAUGAAAUGGGUCCCAUCAAGGACAUUGAACCAAGUAACGUAGAAGCAACUGAAGCAGGCAUUAUCCAGGAGAGAGUGGAUCAAGUGCUGUAGAGCUUGAUUCUCAAGAAACGAGUGCUGGGUUUCUGGGCGAACCAAAGCUUUGAUUUGAUGAAACAUCUGGAAUUUCAAGUUUGAACAUAUCAGAUGAAAAGGUAAGAAUGCAAAAUCUCUUAGAUUGAGCUCUAGUUCCAGCUCUAGUUCAAGCUUCACUGAUACAGGUUGAAAAAGAGAAUUGCCAGAGAGUAAGCGAAAGAAGUUUUGUGGUUUUGAGUUUUCCUUUGAUAUGGUUUACUUCUGCUAUCAUCAGCCUUUUGUUUCCAUAGUCUGGUUUUCUAUGUUGUUUUCAUUAUUGAUAGUUGGUUUUUGUUUGCCUUUUCAAUUGAUUGACCUCUUCAAGAAUGAGUUUUGGUUUGACUUCUUGAAGUGUGAUUGUUAUUAUUAUUAUUAUUUUU
rnacentral:misc_RNA from 1 species